rnacentral:rRNA from 1 species
UGGGGAAUAUUGCGCAAUGGGCGAAAGCCUGACGCAGCGACGCCGCGUGAGGGAUGAAGGUUUUCGGAUCGUAAACCUCUGUCACAAGGGAAGAAACCGCACUGUGCUAAUCAGCAGUGCCUUGACGGUACCUUCAAAGGAAGCACCGGCUAACUCCGUGCCAGCAGCCGCGGUAAUACGGAGGGUGCAAGCGUUAAUCGGAAUUACUGGGCGUAAAGCGCACGUAGGCUGCUUUGUAAGUCAGGGGUGAAAUCCCACGGCUCAACCGUGGAACUGCCUUUGAUACUGCUUAGCUUGAAUCCGGGAGAGGGUGGCGGAAUUCCAGGUGUAGGAGUGAAAUCCGUAGAUAUCUGGAGGAACAUCAGUGGCGAAGGCGGCCACCUGGACCGGUAUUGACGCUGAGGUGCGAAAGCGUGGGGAGCAAACAGG